rnacentral:rRNA from 1 species
CUGAAUAGGGCGCAUAAGUAACAGGUCGUAGACCCGAAACCAGGUGAUCUACCCAUGUCCAGGAUGAAGGUAAGGUAAUACUUACUGGAGGUCCGAACCCACGCACGUUGAAAAGUGCGGGGAUGAGGUGUGGGUAGCGGAGAAAUUCCAAUCGAACUUGGAGAUAGCUGGUUCUCUCCGAAAUAGCUUUAGGGCUAGCCUCGAGGUAAAGAGUCAUGGAGGUAGAGCACUGUUUGGACUAGGGGCCCUUCUCGGGUUACCGAAUUCAGAUAAACUCCGAAUGCCAUGUACUUAUACUCGGGAGUCAGACUGCGAGUGAUAAGAUCCGUAGUCGAAAGGGAAACAGCCCAGACCACCAGUUAAGGUCCCCAAAUAUAUGUUAAGUGGAAAAGGAUGUGGGGUUGCUUAGACAACCAGGAUGUUGGCUUAGAAGCAGCCACCAUUGAAAGAGUGCGUAAUAGCUCACUGGUCGAGUGACCCCGCGCCGAAAAUGUACCGGGGCUAAACAUAUUACCGAAACUGUGGAUGAACCUCUUUAGAGGUUCGUGGUAGGAGAGCGUUCUAAGGGCGGUGAAGUCAGACCGGAAGGACUGGUGGAGCGCUUAGAAGUGAGAAUGCCGGUAUGAGUAGCGAAAGAAGGGUGAGAAUCCCUUCCACCGAAUAUCUAAGGUUUCCUGAGGAAGGCUCGUCCGCUCAGGGUUAGUCGGGACCUAAGCCGAGGCCGAUAGGCGUAGGCGAUGGACAACAGGUAGAGAUUCCUGUACCAGUGCUAAUUGUUUAACCGAUGGGGUGACACAGAAGGAUAGGGAAUCGCACGAAUGGAAAUGUGCGUCCAAGCAGUGAGUGUGAGAAGUAGGCAAAUCCGCUUCUCGCGAAGCAUGAGCUGUGAUGGGG